rfam:Daedalea quercina L-15889 unplaced genomic scaffold DAEQTscaffold_107, whole genome shotgun sequence.
GGCUCUGUAGUGUAGUGGUUAUCACAGCGGAUUCUGAUCUACACUGAUUUCCGUUAACCCAGGUUCGAGUCCUGGCAGGGCCU